rnacentral:rRNA from 1 species
GACGAACGCUGGCGGCGUGCUUAACACAUGCAAGUCGAACGGUGACCCAGGGCUUGCCCUGGUGAUCAGUGGCGAACGGGUGAGUAACACGUGGGCAACCUGCCCCCUGACUUCGGGAUAACUCCUCGAAAGAGGAGCUAAUACCGGAUACGACCACUUCGGACAUCCGAUGGUGGUGGAAAGUUUUCGGUCAGGGAUGGGCCCGCGGCCUAUCAGCUAGUUGGUGGGGUAAUGGCCUACCAAGGCGACGACGGGUAGCCGGCCUGAGAGGGCGACCGGCCACACUGGGACUGAGACACGGCCCAGACUCCUACGGGAGGCAGCAGUGGGGAAUAUUGCGCAAUGGGCGAAAGCCUGACGCAGCGACGCCGCGUGAGGGAUGAAGGCCUUCGGGUUUGUAAACCUACUUUCAGCAGGGACGAAGACGAAAGUAGACGGU